rnacentral:misc_RNA from 1 species
UACGGAGGGGGCUAGCGUUAUUCGGAAUUAUUGGGCGUAAAGGGCGCGUAGGCGGCUUGGUAAGUCAAAGGUGAAAUCCCUCGGCCCAACCGAGGAACUGCCUUUGAUACUGCCUCGCUCGAGGCCGGGAGGGGGUAGCGGAAUUCCCAGUGUAGCGGUGAAAUGCGUAGAUAUUGGGAGGAACACCGGUGGCGAAGGCGGCUACCUGGACCGGUUCUGACGCUGAUGCGCGAAAGCGUGGGGAGCAAACAGG